GAUGAACGCUGGCGGCGUGCCUAAUACAUGCAAGUCGAGCGAACCACUUCGGUGGUGAGCGGCGAACGGGUGAGUAACACGUAGGUUAUCUGCCCAUCAGACGGGGACAACGAUUGGAAACGAUCGCUAAUACCGGAUAGGACGAAAGUUUAAAGGUGCUUCUGGCACCGCUGAUGGAUGAGCCUGCGGCGCAUUAGCUAGUUGGUAGGGUAAAGGCCUACCAAGGCGACGAUGCGUAGCCGACCUGAGAGGGUGAACGGCCACACUGGGACUGAGACACGGCCCAGACUCCUACGGGAGGCAGCAGUAGGGAAUCUUCGGCAAUGGGCGAAAGCCUGACCGAGCAACGCCGCGUGAAUGAUGAAGGCCUUCGGGUUGUAAAAUUCUGUUAUAAGGGAAGAACGACUUUAGUAGGAAAUGGCUAAAGUGUGACGGUACCUUAUGAGAAAGCCACGGCUAACUACGUGCCAGCAGCCGCGGUAA
rnacentral:rRNA from 1 species